rnacentral:rRNA from 1 species
GACAGAGGGUGCAAACGUUGUUCGGAAUUACUGGGCGUAAAGCGCGUGUAGGCGGCUUUGCAAGUCGGGUGUGAAAGCCCUCGGCUCAACCGAGGAAGUGCGCCCGAAACUGCAGAGCUUGAGUACCGGAGAGGAUGGCGGAAUUCCCCAAGUAGAGGUGAAAUUCGUAGAUAUGGGGAGGAACACCGGUGGCGAAGGCGGCCAUCUGGACGGAUACUGACGCUGAGACGCGAAAGCGUGGGGAGCGAACAGG